rnacentral:rRNA from 1 species
UGAGGAUGAUGUCAAGUCAGCAUGACCUUUAUAUCCAGGGCUACACACACGCUACAAUGGUCUGUACAAUGGGUAGCCAAGCCGCGAGGCGGAGCCAAUCCUGAAAGCAGGCCUCAGUUCAGAUUGCAGUCUACAACUCGACUGCAUGAAGCCGGAGUUGCUAGUAACCGCAGGUCAGCAAUACUGCGGUGAAUACGUUCCCGGGUCUU